rnacentral:rRNA from 1 species
GAUGAACGCUGGCGGCGUGCCUAAUACAUGCCAGUCGAGCGAACAGACGAGGAGCUUGCUCCUCUGACGUUAGCGGCGGACGGGUGAGUAACACGUGGAUAACCUACCUAUAAGACUGGGAUAACUUCGGGAAACCGGAGCUAAUACCGGAUAAUAUAUUGAACCGCAUGGUUCAAUAGUGAAAGACGGUUUUGCUGUCACUUAUAGAUGGAUCCGCGCCGCAUUAGCUAGUUGGUAAGGUAACGGCUUACCAAGGCGACGAUGCGUAGCCGACCUGAGAGGGUGAUCGGCCACACUGGAACUGAGACACGGUCCAGACUCCUACGGGAGGCAGAAGUAGGGAAUCUUCCGCAAUGGGCGAAAGCCUGACGGAGCAACGCCGCGUGAGUGAUGAAGGUCUUCGGAUCGUAAAACUCUGUUAUUAGGGAAGAACAAAUGUGUAAGUAACUAUGCACGUCUUGACGGUACCUAAUCAGAAAGCCACGGCUAACUACGUG